GAUAGUACCUUACUACUUGGAUAACCGUGGUAAUUCUAGAGCUAAUACAUGCUGAAAACCCCGACUUCGGGAGGGGUGUAUUUAUUAGAUAAAAAACCAACGCCCUUCGGGGCUUCUUGGUGAUUCAUGAUAACUUCACGGAUCGCAUGGCCUUGCGCCGGCGACGGUUCAUUCAAAUUUCUGCCCUAUCAACUUUCGAUGGUAAGGUAUUGGCUUACCAUGGUUUCAACGGGUAACGGGGAAUUAGGGUUCGAUUCCGGAGAGGGAGCCUGAGAAACGGCUACCACAUCCAAGGAAGGCAGCAGGCGCGCAAAUUACCCAAUCCCGACACGGGGAGGUAGUGACAAUAAAUACUGAUACAGGGCUCUUUUGGGUCUUGUAAUUGGAAUGAGUACAAUUUAAACCUCUUAACGAGGAACAAUUGGAGGGCAAGUCUGGUGCCAGCAGCCGCGGUAAUUCCAGCUCCAAUAGCGUAUAUUAAAGUUGUUGCAGUUAAAAAGCUCGUAGUUGAAACUUGGGCCUGGCUGGCAGGUCCGCCUCACCGCGUGUACUUGUCCGGCCGGGCCUUUCCUUCUGGAGAACCUCAUGCCCUUCACUGGGUGUGUUGGGGAACCAGGACUUUUACUUUGAAAAAAUUAGAGUGUUCAAAGCAGGCCUUUGCUCGAAUACGUUAGCAUGGAAUAAUAGAAUAGGACGUGCGGUCCUAUUUUGUUGGUUUCUAGGACCGCCGUAAUGAUUAAUAGGGACAGUCGGGGGCAUCAGUAUUCAAUUGUCAGAGGUGAAAUUCUUGGAUUUAUUGAAGACUAACUACUGCGAAAGCAUUUGCCAAGGAUGUUUUCAUUAAUCAGUGAACGAAAGUUAGGGGAUCGAAGACGAUCAGAUACCGUCGUAGUCUUAACCGUAAACUAUGCCGACUAGGGAUCGGGCGAUGUUCUUUUUCUGACUCGCUC
rnacentral:rRNA from 4 species